UGGGGGAGCAGGGGAUUGUUCGAAUUCGUUGGACGAAGAAUUAUUGUUCAAGGCUACUUCUCCUUCUUUCAAAGUUUUACUUUCGAUUUUAUGCAAUAGUAAAUGCAGACUUAGUUUGUAGCCUGUUGAUAAGUGCCAGUAUAACAUUCGUGAACAUUUGAAUCAAAUGUUUGGUCACGGAUAGAUUGGGCGUGGUGGACCUGUUUCCUAGCCACCACGCUCUCCUGAUUUAAGCAGCAGCAUGGAUUCCUUUCUUUAGGGUGCAUUGAAAAGUGCAAUGUACACAACAUCUUUGGAUUCCGAAAUGGAUCUGGUUGCAAGAAUCAUCUAUGCUGUACAUCCAACAAAAUUCAGGUGUAUUUGAGCGAGGCCGCCAAUUCCAACAACAUAUGCAUCGCUAGCAAUGGUGUAAACUUUGAACCUCUUCUGUGACAUUUUCACGUAUGAUUUACCACAGCACAUGUAAUAUUUGUGACCCAUAAAUAUUUCAGAUAAUCUCA